rnacentral:rRNA from 1 species
UUCCGGUUGAUCCUGCCGGAGGUCACUGCUAUUGGGGUCCGGCUAAGCCAUGCGAGCGGAGGGCGCGGUCGAAAGAUCGUGGCCCCGCACACGGCUCAGUAACACGUAGUCAACCUACCCUUGGGACGGGAACAACCUCGGGAAACUGAGGCUAAUUCCCGAUAGGCGAGGGACGCUGGGAUGCUUCCUCGCCCAAAGCUCCGGCGCCCAGGGAUGGGACUGCGGUCUAUCAGGCUGUUGGUGGUGUAACGGACCACCAAACCUACGACGGGUACAGGCGAUGGGAGUCGGAGCCUGGAGAUGGGGACUGAGACAAGGCCCCAGGCCCUACGGGGCGCAGCAGGCGCGAAAACUCCGCAAUGCGCGUAAGCGUGACGGGGGGACCCCAAGUGCCGUUGGUCUUUUGAUCGACGGCUUUUAGGAAGUCUAUGAAGCUUUCAGAAUAAGGGCUGGGUAAGACUGGUGCCAGCCGCCGCGGUAACACCAGCAGCCCAAGUGGUGACCACGAUUAUUGGGCCUAAAGCGCUCGUAGCCGGGUCAGCAAGUCCCUUGUGAAAUCGGGCCGCCUAACGGUUCGGCGUGCAAGGGAUACUGUUGGUCUUGAGGCCGGGAGAGGUCGGAGGUACUCCUGGGGUAGGGGUGAAAUCCUGUAAUCCUAGGGGGACCACCAGUGGCGAAGGCGUCCAACCAAAACGGCUCCGACGGUAAGGGACGAAGCCCUGGGGCGCAAACGGGAUUAGAUACCCCGGUAGUCCAGGGUGUAAACGCUGCAGGCUUGGUGUUGGGGGUCCUACGAGGGCGCCUAGUGCCGGAGAGAAGUUGUUAAGCCUGCCGCUUGGGGAGUACGUCCGCAAGGAUGAAACUUAAAGGAAUGCGGGGAGCACAGCACGGGUGGAGCGUGCGUCAUGAUCACGCGA